rnacentral:lncRNA from 12 species
AUGACAUGCUCUCUAUCUCUCAUCGGAGAGCUCGGCGCGGCCCUGUGCAAACAGGGCGGGGGAAGCCCCUCCCCACCCCCACCUGGAGUGGUGGGCUGGGCCUGGAGGGGGCACCUGCCUCAGGUGGGGGGGAAUGGCCAUCCCCCUCCUGCCCACAUCAUAGCUGAGCCUGCGGGGUCCUGGGGAAAGGAGUUGGGAAAGGGACAGGAGGAGGGGAGAAGAACCCCGGCAAGACCAAAGCACGGAGGGGCCCAGGUGACCACACCCGAGGGUCCUAGGAUGCUUUCCUCAAACAGGGAAGACAACAGUAAAGGUCGGUGGAGGAGCACCGAGGGGAAUGUGUUUCCGUGGGAAGACCCAGGGCCCUCCAUCCCGCCCUCAGCCCCUGUCAGGCGGGCCCCCGGGCGCACAGUCCUGCUGAGAAGCAGCGGGUCCCGAACCAGCGCACAGCGGGCAACGCAGGCCCCUGAACACACGUCAGUCGUGAUCAUUACAAGGCCGACUAACAAACAUCCGCGGCUACACACCGAAUCGCGGCUCCAGUACUUCACCCCGUCCAUAUCCUCAGGCCUCCGCCACGAUGAGAAGCUUGUGGGCAACGAGGGGUCCUGUCUGGAGGCUGGGCUCGGCCGUGGGGCUGGGGUCAGCUCCCAAGUCUAUCCUUCCCUGCGCCCGGGGCGUCGGUGUUUGUUUUACCCCUCGGAGCCCCGUAGUCUCCUUAGGGCGACUGCAGUAUUACAGCUGCACCUUCUAACAGCGCUCCCCAUCGGACUGUCGGAAGAAUUCACGGAGUUGCCAGACAUAAAGGGCGCAGAAGACUUAGUGCUGAGGGCAGUGCCUGGACCAGCUUGCAUCGAUCCUAUUGUGCAAGGGCAGGAUCUCGCACUAGGCCACGGCCAGCCACUAGAAGAGCCAGGAUUGGGGGCCAAGCGUGUGACACUCAGCCAGCACGCUAGCAGGCGGGCCAUUUGCCCGAGACAGUCCUGGCUUUUGCCUGUCAUCUGA